AUCACACAGUCAGUUAACUUCAUUUGCAAAUAAAUGGGGUGGAUGCACCCACAGAUUUUGGAAAUAUAGUGGAUACGCCUCAAAUUAACAAAUAUUUGUAAUACAUAUUUCGACAUUAUAUGUCAAAAUUUACAAUAGUAUCAAUGAUUCCUGUAAUAUAAAUUGAUCCAAAAGAAGGUUAUGGUUACUAUUUGGUGGUCUACUGUCGGUGUGAAUUAUUACAACUUCCUGAAUUCUAGUGAAACAGUUACGAUGGUAAAGUACUGCCAACAAAUCGACAAAAUGUACCAGAAUACAUAACAAAGCUGAGAGCUGAGAUUUGUGCAUUUUGUUUUUAAGGUUAAAAAGACAAUAAGUUUCUUCAUACCUAAUAAUUCUAUUUAGACCUCCCUUACUUGUUUUUAUCACAUAGUCAAUUAAGUUCCUUUGCAAAUAAAUGGGGUGGAUGCAACCACAUGUUUUGGAAAUAUGGUGGAUGCGCCUCAAAUUGGCAAAUACUUUUAAUACAUAUUAUGACAUUAUAUGUCCAAAUUUACAAUAAUUUCAUGAAUUCCUGUAAUAUAAAUUGCUCCAAAAGAAGGUUAUGGUUACUAUUUGGUGGUCUACUGUCGGUGUGACUAAUUACAACUUCCGUAAUCCUAGUGAAACAGUUACGAUGGUAAAAUACUGCCAACAAAUCGACAAAAUGUACCAGAAUACAAAAUAAAGUUAUAUUUAAGCUGA